rnacentral:rRNA from 1 species
AUUGAACGCUGGCGGCAGGCUUAACACAUGCAAGUCGAGCGAGCGGCGGACGGGUGAGCAAUGUCUGGGAAACUGCCUGAUGGAGGGGGAUAACUACUGGAAAAGGUAGCUAAUACCGCAUACCAUCCGAUGGGCCCAGCUGGGAUUAGCUAGUGGGGGGGGUAAUGGCUCACCUGGGCGACGAUCCCUAGCUGGUCUGAGAGGAUGACCAGCCACACUGGAACUUAGACACGGUCCAGACUCCUACGGGAGGCAGCAGUGGGGAAUAUUGCACAAUGGUCGCAAGCCUGAUGCAGCCAUGCCGCGUGUGUGAAGAAGGCCUUCGGGUUGUAAAGCACUUUCAGCGAGGAGGCGUUACUCGCAGAAGAAGCACCGGCUAACUCCGUGCCAGCCGCCGCGGUAAUUC